CACGCCCUAAACGAUGUGUGCUAGUUGUCGGGACCUUUAGGUCUCGGUGACGCAGCUAACGCUUUAAGCACACCGCCUGGGGAGUACGGUCGCAAGAUUAAAACUCAAAGGAAUUGACGGGGACCCGCACAAGCGGUGGAGCAUGUUGUUUAAUUCGAAGCAACGCGAAGAACCUUACCUACACUUGACAUACCUCUUGGGGCUUUCAGAGAUGAUUGCUUUCGGUUCGGCCGGGGAGAGUACAGGUGC
rnacentral:rRNA from 1 species